rnacentral:rRNA from 1 species
AUGGUCAGUGACCUGUCACAUAUCAAGCUUUUCUACGACGCCAUGUGGCUGCUCGCGGGCCCGCUCGACGCGUACCUCCGCGCCCUGCCGCGGCGGCCUGACUGCCUGGUCGCCGACACCUGCAACCCGUGGACGGCGGACGUCGCUCGACGGCUCGGCAUCCCACGGUUCGUGUUCCACGGUCCGUCCGCGUUCUUCCUCCUGGCGGCGCAUAACCUGGCCAAGCACGGUGUGCGCGACCGCGCCUCCGGCGAGUUCGAGCCGUUCGAGGUGCCCAACUUCCCGGUGCGCACGGUCGUGAACAAGGCGAUGUCGCUCGGGUUCUUCCAGUGGCCAGGGCUGGAGGCGCAACGGCGCGAGAUGCUGGACGCCGAGGCCACCGCCGACGGCUUCGUCGUCAACACGUGCGCGGCCUUCGAAGGCGCGUUCGUCGAGGGCUACGCGGGGGCGCUCGACCGAAAGGUGUGGGCGGUCGGGCCACUCUGCCUCCUAGACUCCGACGUCGAGACGACGGCCAGGAGAGGCGAUCGCGCGGCCAUGGACACUGGCCGGAUCAGCUCCUGGCUCGACGCGAAGCCUCCACGAUCCGUACUCUACGUCAGCUUCGGCAGCAUCGCCCGCUUGUUACCGCCGCAGGUCGCCGAGCUCGCCGCCGGGCUGGAGGCGUCGGAGAGGCCGUUCGUCUGGGUGGCCAAGGAGGGCGACGACCUGGACGCCGGAUUCGACUCGCGGGUGGAGGGCCGCGGCCUGGUCAUCCGUGGGUGGGCGCCGCAGAUGAGCAUCCUGUCGCACCCGGCGGUGGGCGGCUUCUUGACGCACUGUGGCUGGAACUCCACGCUCGAGUCUCUCUCCAAUGGCGAGCCGCUUCUGACCUGGCCUCACUUUGCCGACCAGUUCCUCAACGAGAAGCUAGUCGUCGACGUGCUUGGCGCUGGUGUCCGUGUCGGUGUGAAGGUGCCGUCGACCCACGUAUUCCUGGACCCUGAGACACCGGCAGUGCAGGUUUGGGCAGACGAUGUCGUAAGGACGGUGGCCAAGCUGAUGGACGACGGGGCGGCAGUGCGGGCAAAGGCAAUGGAGCUCGCAGCGAAGGCAAGGGAGGCCAUGGCAAAAGGCGGGUCCUCGGACAGAGACCUGGUGGGCAUGAUUCAGCAGCUCAGAAAGCUUGCGAGUAAUGAGAAGGAUGAAGUUGUGUCUACUACAAGUGUAGAUAGGUCAUAA